GUCCUACGGGACGCAGCAGUGAGGAAUAUUGGUCAAUGGGCGAGAGCCUGAACCAGCCAAGUCGCGUGAGGGAAGACGGCCCUACGGGUCGUAAACCUCUUUUGCCGGGGAGCAAGGGCCGGGACGCGUCCCGGCCCGGAGAGUACCCGGAGAAAAAGCAUCGGCUAACUCCGUGCCAGCAGCCGCGGUAAUACGGAGGAUGCGAGCGUUAUCCGGAUUUAUUGGGUUUAAAGGGUGCGUAGGCGGGCCUUUAAGUCAGCGGUAAAAAUUCGGGGCUCAACCCCGUCCGGCCGUUUAAACUGGGG
rnacentral:rRNA from 1 species